AGGUCAGAAGUUGAUCAAACAAGGGAAGAUUACAUAAUGAGAUGAUAAAGGUUGUUAAUUGCCUGAUUCACCAGUUUUUACUGAACUAACCAGACAGUGGCCCUUUAAUGGAAGAAAGCACAAGUUGAGAAGAAACCAAACUUAGGACAUCAUCCAGAACCAGUGAUCUACAAGGGCCUGAAAUCUGGGCAACCUCUUCAAUAGCUCAGUCAGGCAUGAACAAGAACACUUUAGGGCAGUGAGCUGUUCAGCUCUUGAUAUAUUACAGUUGGCACCUAUGGAAAGAUACCUGAGGACUAAAAACAUGAAGGACAAAAAAAGAAACAAGAAUGUUUGGACCAACAACAAGUCACAUGCUAGAAAUUGGGUUACAGAAAUAAUUAUAACUCCUCUUCAGAGAGCUCAUGACCUAGAGUGGUGGUAUAUAAUCAAGUCAAAGUUAUAAUCAGCUUAACCAGACCCAGCACUGCCACUGACUACUAAAGGGAAGAAUAAGGCUCCACAAAGAGAUGUUCAUGUACCCCAACCCCAGAAGCCACUCUGCUAUUUCUAUGGAAACCUUCACCAGACAUCAGCAUGCUGAACUGUGUAAGUGAAUGAGAAGGUAUGUUCUUUUCAUCACCACAGCUCCUAGAGAGCAACCACUUCUUAGA
rnacentral:lncRNA from 1 species